AAAGAAACCACUAAUCGCGAGGCGAAGGGGAUUGAGGCCAAGGCUGAGGAGGGAGAAGAAAAGCCUUCAACCAGCCUCUCAGAGACACCCAAGAAGAAAAGUCCGCCUAGUAAAUGGGAAAACAUCAUGAAGUUGAAGGACCCUAAGAGUGAGGUCAAACGAGGUGCACGAAUGGAAGCACAUGACAAGUUUGUAGAAGAGAGGAAGAGGAAUGAUUACCUUGGGUUAAAGACAGAGGAGGAGAAAGCUAUCAAGCGCAAAAACAAGUAGAUAGUGUGAGACAAAUAAAAAAAAAAUCUUA
rnacentral:lncRNA from 1 species